AUCCAAACACAAAGUCAAACAUGUCGCAGAAAAGUGAAAACCCCUCCCCUUCGGCUUCUUCUCCGACGACUGCUGCUGCCCUCCGAUCAACGCGCCUCCGCCCUCCGUUUGUCUGGGCGUAGGCACAGCUGUUGGGACUUGGGAGGAACUGGAAGGAGCUCAAUCUCUCUCCCGCCUAUCUGGAUUCGCUCUUGGGGCUGACCUGGAAAUCCUCCCGAGCCCUGCGCCCGAUCGUCGGUCUCCGAUUAGCCAUCGUCGUUGUCGAGUUCAGGUGACAGCAUAAGCUACGCCAGCGGGAACUUCCUCAGCGAUGUUUACUCUGAUUCUGUCUACAAGCAAACCUAAGCCUGAGAAACAAGUAGCAGCCGAAGAGAUUGA